ACUUCACUUGGGAAGAGUGGACUUUGCUGGAUACUUCUCAGAAGAAUCUCUACAUAGAUGUUAUGCUGGAGACCUUCAGGAACCUCACUGAUAUAGGAUACUGUUGGGAAGAAAAUACUAUUGAAGAACAUUGCGCAAGUUCUAAAAGACAUGCAAGGUAAUUUUCCUUUUCAAGCUCAUAGAAAUAUCUCUCUGAAGAAAUUGAAAUGUGUCCUCAAUUUUGAAACAGAAACAACAGUGUAAUUAAGCACAGCUUAAAUUGCACUGACGAUUAUUACAUUCUCAAAAAACAAUAUAACUCAAUUUCAGAUAGAUGAACUGUAUUUGCAAAAUAGUAUUUAAGAAAGAAUACAAAAUAAUACCUUAAGAGAAA